GCUCCCCACCCUAGGUCCAAGGCAUCGGACAUGAGGGUCACUGACGGGGAUGGAGCUGCAAAGGGAACUCCCUCCAACCUCAAUGCAGGACUCUGCCACCAGCCCCAGGUCAUGACAGGUGGAACAAACCAUAUCAAGAUGCUGCCACAGAUGAUCCCGGGACUGGCCCUUUAUUAGCCAGUCGUCAAGGUGCUCAGCCGAAGAGUCCCCCAGGACCGAGACUGUGGAGGCGGAGGGCGGAACGGCUUCCUGGCCUAUUGAGGAGUAUGGAGGCCCAAGCAGCAGAGACUGGCACAGGAGUCUUUAAGGCUGUGGACUCAAGUCCAUGAGCUCAGAGAAGAGCCCCACCCCCUCAAAUGGGAGGUCCUGAAAAGUGGACUUCAUCUCCUGGGACAGCCCAGAGGACUGCAACUAGGAGCUGUGCCUCAUGGCCAGUGCAGAGGCGACCACAGUGGCCGCUGAAUCAAUAGUGUCCCAGGCCAUCUGGAGGGCCCCCCUUGCCACAACUGUGCCUUCGUUGACUAGAGCAGCGAACUCCUGGGCUGCUCCUGAAUUUGUUAAGGGAGUCCCGCAGGUUAAAACUGUACCUGUUUAACAGGGCCUGGUGGUUAGACACCCGAAAUUGCAGGCUGGCCGUCGAAUAAUCAUCCUGCCAAAUAAGUCCAGUCUCUUGGUGUCUGUUUUUCAGCAUGCCACUGACCUGGUCCUGCCUGCCCCUUUCAUUAACAGCGGACAUGACCAGUGAUGCUG